rnacentral:rRNA from 1 species
CAAGUCGUGGGGCAGCAUGACUGUAGCAAUACAGUUGAUGGCGACCGGCAAACGGGUGCGGAACACGUACACAACCUUCCUUUAAGUGGGGAAUAGGCCAGGGAAACUUGGGUUAAUACCCCGUAAUAUAUAGAAGCGGCAUCGCUUUUAUAUUAUAGCAGCAAUGCGCUUGAAGAUGGGUGUGCGGCUGAUUAGAUAGUUGGCGGGGUAACGGCCCACCAAGUCGACGAUCAGUAACUGGUGUGAGAGCACGACCAGUCACACGGGCACUGAGACACGGGCCCGACUCCUACGGGAGGCAGCAGUAAGGAAUAUUGGUCAAUGGACGCAAGUCUGAACCAGCCAUGCCGCGUGGAGGAUGAAGGUCCUCUGGAUUGUAAACUUCUUUUAUUUGGGAAGAAACCCACCUUUUCUUGGGUGGCUGACGGUACCAGAUGAAUAAGCACCGGCUAACUCCGUGCCAGCAGCCGCGGUAAUACGGAGGGUGCAAGCGUUAUCCGGAUUCACUGGGUUUAAAGGGUGCGUAGGUGGGCAAGUAAGUCAGUGGUGAAAUCUCCGGGCUUAACCCGGAAACUGCCAUUGAUACUAUUUGUCUUGAAUACUGUGGAGGUCAGCGGAAUAUGUCAUGUAGCGGUGAAAUGCUUAGAUAUGACAUAGAACACCAAUUGCGAAGGCAGCUGACUACACAAAUAUUGACACUGAGGCACGAAAGCGUGGGGAUCAAACAGGAAUAGAUACCCUGGUAGUCCACGCCCUAAACUAUGGAUACUCGACAUUUGCGAUAAACUGCAAGUGUCUGAGCGAAAGCAUUAAGUAUCCCACCUGGGAAGUACGAUCGCCAGAUUGAAACUCAAGGAAUUGGCGGGGGUC